rnacentral:lncRNA from 1 species
ACUGGCAAGAAGCCUCCCAUGCAGGAUGAAGCCAAGGAAGAAGAGAAGAGAGGAAGGACACGCCCAUUAACCAAAGGACCCAAAACAUAUCUCAAGGAGCUCAUGAAGUCAUCCUCAUGCACACAGUUUCCCAGGUGUCAGAUCUGUUUGGGCCACAAACCUAAGAAGAACAUCAUGUGAGGAUGAAGGCAGAGAGCAGGGUGAUGCAGCUGAAGCCAAGGACACUGAAGACUUCCUGCAAACCCCCAGAAGCUGGGGCAGAGGCCCUCCAGUCUCCAGAAGAGGCCAACCAUGCUGAUACCUUGACCUUGGACUCCUAGCCCCAGAACUAUGAGAAAUAAAUUUCUGUUAUUUAAGUCACUCAGUUGUCUUACUUGGUUGUGGCAGCCCUGAGAGGCUAAUUCUCAGCGCUUUCUCUGAAUGUCCUCAACACUCUCCUGGUUCUCCUCCUGCCUCAAAAGCACU